GAUCAUGACCCGCCGCAUUUCCAUGGCAUUGAGACGAGGUGUGUGAGAAUAAUCCAAAGAGGCCGCACUACACAAUUAAUCUAUGUGAUACUUGAAUCUGCAAGCUCUAGGUUGUCAAGGAAGCGAUUGUAAUAACUUGAUGGAUACGGCGCUGCUAGACGAGAGACAGUUAGGAAAGCAGCCCAUUGUCUAAAUUUAAUAAAAGGAGGCUGCUAUGACAGCGGUAUCUCUCUUUUCUAAUUGAACUAUGCAAGCUCAAAUAUUCGUUUUUUGCUACUAGUGAGUUUCUUCAAAGACCAUCAGGUUCUCUCUCAAAUGUACGGGAAAAAUCUAAUCUUUGUUUGUGCAGAUCCGUUUUUGUCUGCUUACAAGGUAAUUGAUGCAUAUAUG